GAGUUUUCUGAGGUCUACCAUCAGCCUCAUCCAACUUAGCAGGAAUUGUAGGACCCUUUUCUGGAUCUGUGACAGGGACUUGACAGUGUCUUAUGUGUGCCCUGCCUCCUUAUUUAAAGCAGUCUCGCUGUGAACUCCUGGUCUUGUCUCAUGACAGUCAGUGCUAGGACCACAGGUGUAGGCCCUAAAGAGAAUCAUCAACAUAGAUGUGCCUUCUUCCAGUCCCAAAAUGAAGUGAAACUCGGAGGUUGAUUGUGCUUUAAUACAUUAGUAAUAAGCCAAAUUCUAAGUUUUAAAAGAAUAUGAUUUGCAAGAAAUAGUAAAAUAAAAGAGUGUCAACUCUGCAGAGAGAACUAUAAAACACCUUUGAAAUAAAUUGAAGACC
rnacentral:lncRNA from 1 species